rnacentral:rRNA from 1 species
UACGAAAGGGGCUAGCGUUGUUCGGAAUUACUGGGCGUAAAGCGCGCGCAGGCGGUCUUCCAAGUCAGUGGUGAAAGCCCGGAGCUCAACUCCGGAACUGCCAUUGAAACUGUUAGACUUGAGGAUGAGAGAGGUGAGUGGAAUUCCCAGUGUAGAGGUGAAAUUCGUAGAUAUUGGGAAGAACACCGGUGGCGAAGGCGGCUCACUGGCUCAUUACUGACGCUCAGGCGCGAUAGCGUGGGGAUCAAACAGG